UUGUGCGGUGCAGCCUUGGCUUAUGCUUGUUGCCCCGGCAUGACUAAUAGUGACUGUGACCCUCGUGAAAGUGGCUCUGUUGGGACACAAAGGGCAUGGUGCCUAAGCCUGGCCCACAGCAGGUCCAGGGCAGCCAGCCUCCUAGGCGUCAGCACACUCUGGGCCUGUUCCCUCCCCACCGGCAGCCUCCGGCAGCUCCUCACCUGGGCAGUCUACAGAUAACCGACACUAUCAUCUGCUAAGACGUCAAGGACCGCGAAGAUGUGGCUAUUCCCCCGAGAGCUCACAGGCUCCUAGGAGUACAGACCUUUCCCCAGCAAUCGGAGUCCCCCAGUCACAUCCGGAAAGUAUGAUCUGAGUCCACUACAGAGAAGAAUUCAAUAAAUGGCUGGUUCAGCUUGCAUCCUACCCAAAGGACCGCAGUUAUGGAUGUCACCAGAAGUACUUUGGUUGAAGAUUCUAGAGACCACCCGCAUUUCUUGGCUUGUGGCUUCUUCCUCCACCGUCAAAGCCAGCCGUGUAGCAUCUUCUGUCCUCUCUGACUUCUGCUUCUACCAUCACAUCCUUCUCUGACUCUGACCCUCCUGCCUCCCUCAAAUGACUCUCAUGAUUGGGCCACCAAGAUAAUCUCCCAUCUCAGGAUUUGAAAAAUCCCUUUUGCCAGCCUUCGGACUUGAUCUGAAACAUCACUCUUCCUGAAGAGCCUGCCCGCCUUUGGACUAGAAAUGCAGCAACAGCCCUCCCGGUUCUCAGGCCUUAGGACUCAGACUAGACCCAAACCAUCAGCUCUCCUGGGCAGGUCUCUAGCUUCCAGUCUUCAUCUUGCAGCUCUUGGGACUUGCCCGCCCCCAUAAUUGCAUGAGCCAGUUCCUUGUAAUAAAUCUCUCUGUAUAUGUAAAUAUGUAUAUAAAUAUCUUGUCUUAGUUUGGUCGUUUCUCUCAG